GACGAACGCUGGCGGCGUGCUUAACACAUGCAAGUCGAACGGAAAGGCCCCUUUGGGGGUCCUCGAGUGGCGAACGGGUGCGUAACACGUGAGUAACCUGCCCUUGACUUCGGGAUAACUUCAGGAAACUGGGGCUAAUACCGGAUAGGAAUCCUUGCUGCAUGGUGGGGGUUGGAAAGCUUCGGCGGUUUUGGCUGGACUCGCGGCUUAUCAGCUUGUUGGUGGGGUAGUGGCUUACCAAGGCUUUGACGGGUAGCCGGCCUGAGAGGGCGACCGGCCACAUUGGGACUGAGAUGCGGCCCAGACUCCUACGGGAGGCAGCAGUGGGGAAUAUUGCACAAUGGGCGGAAGCCUGAUGCAGCAACGCCGCGUGCGGGAUGACGGCCUUCGGGUUGUAAACCGCUUUCAGCAGGGGCGAAGCUUGUGGUGACGGUACCUGCAGAAGAAGCACCGGCUAACUACGUG
rnacentral:rRNA from 1 species